rnacentral:snRNA from 1 species
AGAUGUGAGGGCAAUCUGACUGUCACCCCAUUGAUGGCCAGGGUUGAUUUGGCUGAUCUGGCUGGCUAGGUGGGUGUCCCUUUCCUCCUUCACUGCUCU